CGGAGAAAGCAUGGUUCAUCUGCGCCUCUGCCCCAAACAUCCCAAUUAUCGCUGAUGCUGAUACUGGUGGAGGUAAUGCUCUCAACGUGCAAAGGACCGUGCAGGACUUGAUUGCAGCAGGUGCUGCUGGAUGCUUUCUUGAGGAUCAAGCAUGGCCAAAGAAGUGAGGU